CGUUACCGUUACAGCUGUGUGUGCUUGAAUGAGGGUUCUUUGGCGUUACAAAGGGGUCCCACCUUGAGGAGGUGGUACAUCAGCAACUUUUUACCUAUGAGCUUUCUCCUAAAUGUACAGGGCGUUGUCGCUCUGCCCUUCCAAAGCUGGGACAGCAAGACUGGCGGCAUAAAGAACUCUGCGCUACCAUCUAACGACACACAAACUUUUUCAGGAUACAAGUGCCUCAGCAAUCUUUCCAAAAGAUCAGUUCCAGCGACGAAGAGCAAUCUCCAUGAACCCUCUCACCAGGAGAAGAAUCGGAGGCCGACCUAUAUUCUUCAUUACAUCUGACAAGCACACAAUUGGAAGAACUGAUAGCUACCACAAAUUGUCUUUUUGAGACUAAAGCAUCCCCAGAACCUCAAAACGCAAUGCUUCCAAAGAGUGGUUAUUCUUCUAAAGGUUCCAGUCAGCCUCUAGAAUCGGCACAAAGGCCCUCGGACAGUCUGUUAUUGAAUAUCUCUUUCACACAGCUCGAACCGGCUUCGCCAAGCUUACUGACUCAGAUACUCGGGGAUUCACCGCUGUUUGUAUCAUCACCCGAACUUCUCACCCAAAUUGUUGGCGAAUCCAAAAGAAUUGAUGCCAGGGCUAAGGUUGCUGAGCUGAAGGCUGAAAUCGACCGAGUUCUGUUGGAUUUUCAAAGUGCAUUACCUGAUCUUUUUUCACGUUCUCCAGAUUUAAAGUGAAAAGGUUAUUUUAUUGUAUGCUA